rnacentral:tRNA from 1 species
GGUGGCUCAGUGGUAGAGUGCUUGCCUGGCAUGCAUGAGGCUCUGGGUUCAAUCCUCACCACCA